GGACGGGCCCAUGUGCAGUCUUUCGUCGAGGCCGCACGAUCCUGACUGACGCAAAGGCAUACCGAGAGGAAGUCCGAACAAACAAGCUCUCCCCAGAGAGAACUAGAGACGAUAAAAUGAACCUUCACUACGAGUCUGCACAGCUCAUGACUGAGUGUCGAAGGAACUUUUGCAGAACCACUUGGAGGGACGAAUGAAGAUCAAGAAUGAUUGAUGCAGAGGUCAACUGGGGCCUCCUCAGAGCUCUGAGGGGAACAUCUUUGUUCCCUUGACCCGGACCUGUGUUCUUCUUUGGAACAAGAAUAAAGUCUGUGGCCAUGAACUGAUGGUGUCUACAUGAGGGGGACUAGAUGGUGCCUCCUCUAGCUCAUCCUCGAACACAUUGCGAGGAGGUGAAGUGACCGUUGUGCAGCUGUUUAACUGAGGCAGCUCAAGCUAGAUGACACCCUGGCACUAAAACUGGACCAGGCGCUGCACCAGUGAGGUUAAACUGCCACAAGUGUCAAUACUGGUCGACAAAAGGUCAUCCAGGAAAUGGAGCUGGCCAGUGGGUGUUGUCCUGUAAUGUGUGCACAUGGCUUAUACUGACCUGCAAUAAUGGUUUGAACUGAUGACAUGCAGAUGGAUUUCAUGAAGUUUUAAAUAAAAUAAUUGACAACAGA